GCGGCCUAUCAGCUUGUUGGUGAGGUAAUGGCUCACCAAGGCGACGACGGGUAGCCGGCCUGAGAGGGCGACCGGCCACACUGGGACUGAGACACGGCCCAGACUCCUACGGGAGGCAGCAGUGGGGAAUAUUGGGCAAUGGAGGAAACUCUGACCCAGCGACGCCGCGUGAGGGAUGAAGGCCUUCGGGUUGUAAACCUCUUUCAGUAGGGAAGAAGCGAAAGUGGCGGUACCUACAGAAGAAGCACCGGCUAACUAUGUGCCAGCAGCCGCGGUAAUACAUAGGGUGCAAGCGUUGUCCGGAAUUAUUGGGCGUAAAGAGCUCGUAGGUGGUUCGAUACGUCGGAUGUGAAAAUCAGGGGCUCAACCCCUGACCUGCAUUCGAUACGGUCGAGCUGGAGUUUGGUAGGGGAGACUGGAAUUCCU
rnacentral:rRNA from 1 species